CACCAGUGAGUGGCGGACGGGUGAGUAACACGUAGGUAACCUGCCCCGGAGCGGGGGAUAACAUUUGGAAACAGAUGCUAAUACCGCAUAACAACAAAAGCCACAUGGCUUUUGUUUGAAAGAUGGCUUUGGCUAUCACUCUGGGAUGGACCUGCGGUGCAUUAGCUAGUUGGUAAGGUAACGGCUUACCAAGGCGAUGAUGCAUAGCCGAGUUGAGAGACUGAUCGGCCACAAUGGAACUGAGACACGGUCCAUACUCCUACGGGAGGCAGCAGUAGGGAAUCUUCCACAAUGGGCGCAAGCCUGAUGGAGCAACACCGCGUGAGUGAAGAAGGGUUUCGGCUCGUAAAGCUCUGUUGUUGGAGAAGAACGUGCGUGAGAGUAACUGUUCAUGCAGUGACGGUAUCCAACCAGAAAGUCACGGCUAACUACGUGCCAGCAGCCGCGGUAAUACGUAGGUGGCAAGCGUUAUCCGGAUUUAUUGGGCGUAAAGCGAGCGCAGGCGGUUGCUUAGGUCUGAUGUGAAAGCCUUCGGCUUAACCGAAGAAGUGCAUCGGAAACCGGGCGACUUGAGUGCAGAAGAGGACAGUG
rnacentral:rRNA from 2 species